AGCCGCCGGCCGGGAGGCGGGACAAAGGGAGCGCGCAUUCGCCAGGCGCGCGUCCCCGCCUCCUGUCUGGGCCGCGGCUUCACGUAAUGGCGGAGAUGAUUUUCAUUUUAUACGGCAAGGGCGAUACUUCCGAAGGCAGUUACUGAAGCCUCCCGGUCCCUCCAAGCACGAGGAGACCUAGCAACGUUUCAGAACCGAAGGGUUACACCGUGUUCCUGUGUCUGAAGUUCUUCCUGCUGCUACCACCAAGCUACAACUAAGGAGUAAUAUAUUUCAUGGGUUCUCUAGCUUCAACACCUUUUCCAGAGUAUCCACAGAUGACAGUGUAACUCAACAAAUAAACUGGCAGAUUCGGACUACUGGGGAAAUGCAUCUUUCCAUUCCAGAAUGUCUUCUCAAGCAGCAAGAAUUGGGCCAGGGCUGUAAGACAGUGCUACCACACGGAGUCAGUGCUGUGCUCCGUGUCCUGUAAUAAGCAGCCGAGCGCCCAGCUGGUGUUCCUCUCGCACUCUGGGCUUAUCUCAACCUUGGACUUAACUCGUUGUACCACACCUUCUGGUCUGCCUCCUGCACUAAUGCCAUGUGAGUUCCCAAGGGCAGAAAGCAUCAUGCCUUACAACUCUGUAUCUCAGGUCCCAGCUCAGUGCUAACACCUAGUAGAUACUCCACAAAUGUUUGCAGACAAAAGAAUGCAAAGCAUGCUUAACUGUCCAAAUAGAAGGAAUAGCCGUUGUUUUCUAUAAUAUACUAUAAUUUCAUUGUCACUUUUUUGUGAAAAGUGUGGACUUCGUUGCACUUUUAAUAGAAGCUACAUGCAUAAAAUAAGAGAAUCAGUUUCUAAUAUUAUCACAUGAAGUACCUUAUACCCUAUAAUUAGGAGAUAUUACACAUUGGUUUUUUUGCCCAAGUACCCCAUUUAUGAAUCUCCAUUAACAAUAAACUGAUCAUUAUACUUA